GAUUAAGUUAUUAAGGGCGCACGGUGGAUGCCUUGGCACUAGAAGCCGAUGAAGGACGUUACUAACGACGAUAUGCUUUGGGGAGCUGUAAGUAAGCUUUGAUCCAGAGAYUUCCGAAUGGGGAAACCCAGCAUGAGUUAUGUCAUGUUAUCGAUAUGUGAAUACAUAGCAUAUCAGAAGGCACACCCGGAGAACUGAAACAUCUUAGUACCCGGAGGAAGAGAAAGAAAAUUCGAUUCCCUUAGUAGCGGCGAGCGAAACGGGAAGAGCCCAAACCAACAAGCUUGCUUGUUGGGGUUGUAGGACACUCUAUACGGAGUUACAAAGGACGACAUUAGACGAAUCAUCUGGAAAGAUGAAUCAAAGAAGGUAAUAAUCCUGUAGUCGAAAAUGUUGUCUCUCUUGAGUGGAUCCUGAGUACGACGGAGCACGUGAAAUUCCGUCGGAAUCUGGGAGGACCAUCUCCUAAGGCUAAAUACUCUCUAGUGACCGAUAGUGAACCAGUACCGUGAGGGAAAGGUGAAAAGCACCCCGGAAGGGGAGUGAAAUAGAACCUGAAACCGUGUGCUUACAAGUAGUCAGAGCCCGUUAAUGGGUGAUGGCGUGCCUUUUGUAGAAUGAACCGGCGAGUUACGAUUUGAUGCAAGGUUAAGCAGUAAAUGUGGAGCCGUAGCGAAAGCGAGUCUGAAUAGGGCGUUUAGUAUUUGGUCGUAGACCCGAAACCAGGUGAUCUAUCCUUGGUCAGGUUGAAGUUCAGGUAACACUGAAUGGAGGACCGAACCGACUUACGUUGAAAAGUGAGCGGAUGAACUGAGGGUAGCGGAGAAAUUCCAAUCGAACCUGGAGAUAGCUGGUUCUCUCCGAAAUAGCUUUAGGGCUAGCCUCAAGUGAUGAUUAUUGGAGGUAGAGCACUGUUUGGACGAGGGGCCCCUCUCGGGUUACCGAAUUCAGACAAACUCCGAAUGCCAAUUAAUUUAACUUGGGAGUCAGAACAUGGGUGAUAAGGUCCGUGUUCGAAAGGGAAACAGCCCAGACCACCAGCUAAGGUCCCAAAAUAUAUGUUAAGUGGAAAAGGAUGUGGCGUUGCCCAGACAACUAGGAUGUUGGCUUAGAAGCAGCCAUCAUUUAAAGAGUGCGUAAUAGCUCACUAGUCGAGUGACACUGCGCCGAAAAUGUACCGGGGCUAAACAUAUUACCGAAGCUGUGGAUUGUCCUUUGGACAAUGGUAGGAGAGCGUUCUAAGGGCGUUGAAGCAUGAUCGUAAGGACAUGUGGAGCGCUUAGAAGUGAGAAUGCCGGUGUGAGUAGCGAAAGACGGGUGAGAAUCCCGUCCACCGAUUGACUAAGGUUUCCAGAGGAAGGCUCGUCCGCUCUGGGUUAGUCGGGUCCUAAGCUGAGGCCGACAGGCGUAGGCGAUGGAUAACAGGUUGAUAUUCCUGUACCACCUAUAAUCGUUUUAAUCGAUGGGGGGACGCAGUAGGAUAGGCGAAGCGUGCGAUUGGAUUGCACGUCUAAGCAGUAAGGCUGAGUAUUAGGCAAAUCCGGUACUCGUUAAGGCUGAGCUGUGAUGGGGAGAAGACAUUGUGUCUUCGAGUCGUUGAUUUCACACUGCCGAGAAAAGCCUCUAGAUAGAAAAUAGGUGCCCGUACCGCAAACCGACACAGGUAGUCAAGAUGAGAAUUCUAAGGUGAGCGAGCGAACUCUCGUUAAGGAACUCGGCAAAAUGACCCCGUAACUUCGGGAGAAGGGGUGCUCUUUAGGGUUAACGCCCAGAAGAGCCGCAGUGAAUAGGCCCAAGCGACUGUUUAUCAAAAACACAGGUCUCUGCUAAACCGUAAGGUGAUGUAUAGGGGCUGACGCCUGCCCGGUGCUGGAAGGUUAAGAGGAGUGGUUAGCUUCUGCGAAGCUACGAAUCGAAGCCCCAGUAAACGGCGGCCGUAACUAUAACGGUCCUAAGGUAGCGAAAUUCCUUGUCGGGUAAGUUCCGACCCGCACGAAAGGCGUAACGAUUUGGGCACUGUCUCAACGAGAGACUCGGUGAAAUCAUAGUACCUGUGAAGAUGCAGGUUACCCGCGACAGGACGGAAAGACCCCGUGGAGCUUUACUGUAGCCUGAUAUUGAAAUUCGGCACAGCUUGUACAGGAUAGGUAGGAGCCUUUGAAACGUGAGCGCUAGCUUACGUGGAGGCGCUGGUGGGAUACUACCCUAGCUGUGUUGGCUUUCUAACCCGCACCACUUAUCGUGGUGGGAGACAGUGUCAGGCGGGCAGUUUGACUGGGGCGGUCGCCUCCUAAAAGGUAACGGAGGCGCUCAAAGGUUCCCUCAGAAUGGUUGGAAAUCAUUCAUAGAGUGUAAAGGCAUAAGGGAGCUUGACUGCGAGACCUACAAGUCGAGCAGGGUCGAAAGACGGACUUAGUGAUCCGGUGGUUCCGCAUGGAAGGGCCAUCGCUCAACGGAUAAAAGCUACCCCGGGGAUAACAGGCUUAUCUCCCCCAAGAGUUCACAUCGACGGGGAGGUUUGGCACCUCGAUGUCGGCUCAUCGCAUCCUGGGGCUGUAGUCGGUCCCAAGGGUUGGGCUGUUCGCCCAUUAAAGCGGUACGCGAGCUGGGUUCAGAACGUCGUGAGACAGUUCGGUCCCUAUCCGUCGUGGGCGUAGGAAAUUUGAGAGGAGCUGUCCUUAGUACGAGAGGACCGGGAUGGACAUACCUCUGGUGUACCAGUUGUCGUGCCAACGGCAUAGCUGGGUAGCUAUGUGUGGACGGGAUAAGUGCUGAAAGCAUCUAAGCAUGAAGCCCCCCUCAAGAUGAGAUUUCCCAACUUCGGUUAUAAGAUCCCUCAAAGAUGAUGAGGUUAAUAGGUUCGAGGUGGAAGCAUGGUGACAUGUGGAGCUGACGAAUACUAAUCGAUCGAAGACUUAAUCAA
rnacentral:rRNA from 1 species